rnacentral:lncRNA from 1 species
CUUGUACUUCACAUUUAAAGCCAUCGGCUGCCAUCACCCGAAACGACUUGCAAACUUCAUCCGUUCUCAUAUAAAUAGUCGCGGAGUUUAUUCAUCACGUUACCGCACUCUUCCCACACUCGCGAGGACAUCGGAGGGCUGCCGGAACAUGAAGACGACACCGGAGCCAACCGGAGUUUUCGCUCAACGUUUCGGGUAACACUUUGGAAUUCUCUCGACGCCUACGUUACUUACAGUUUAGUUUGGUUUUGCUUGCAACCUAAGGUACACAAGGUUGAUAGCUACUUGAGAAGAUACAUAGGAUUGU